CGUAAACAACCUGCCUUAAGGAUGGGGAUAACAGACGGAAACGACUGCUAAUACCGGAUACGUUCUAAGCAUCGCAUGGUGCAUAGAAGAAAGGGUGGCCUCUACAAGAAAGCUAUCGCCUUAAGAGGGGUUUGCGACUGAUUAGGUAGUUGGUGAGGUAACGGCUCACCAAGCCGACGAUCAGUAGCCGGUCUGAGAGGAUGAACGGCCACACUGGAACUGAGACACGGUCCAG
rnacentral:rRNA from 1 species